rnacentral:rRNA from 1 species
UUAAGUGGCGGACGGGUGAGUAACGCGUGGGUAACCUGCCUUGUACUGGGGGACAACAGUUGGAAACGACUGCUAAUACCGCAUAAGCGCACAGCUUCGCAUGAAGCAGUGUGAAAAACUCCGGUGGUACAAGAUGGACCCGCGUCUGAUUAGCUGGUUGGUGAGGUAACGGCCCACCAAGGCAACGAUCAGUAGCCGGCCUGAGAGGGUGAACGGCCACAUUGGGACUGAGACACGGCCCAAACUCCUACGGGAGGCAGCAUG